AGUGAACGCUGGCGGUAGGCCUAACACAUGCAAGUCGAACGGCCGCACAGUAAGAGCUUGCUCUUACGGGUGGCGAGUGGCGGACGGGUGAGGAAUACAUCGGCAUCUUCUUUUUCGUGGGGGAUAACGUAGGGAAACUUACGCUACUACCGCAUACGUCCUACGGGUUAAAGCAGGGGAUCUUCGGACCUUGCGCGAUUGUAUGAGCCGAUGUCGGAUUAGCUAGUUGGCGGGGUAAAGGCCCACCAAGGCGACGAUCCGUAGCUGGUCUGAGAGGAUGAUCAGCCACACUGGAACUGAGACACGGUCCAGACUCCUACGGGAGGCAGCAGUGGGGAAUAUUGGGCAAUGGGCGAAAGCCUGAUCCAGCCAUACCGCGUGGGUGAAGAAGGCCUUCGGGUUGUAAAGCCCUGUUGUUGGGAAAGAAAAGCAGCAGGUUAAUACCCCGAUGUUCUGACGGUACCCAAAGAAUAAGCACCGGCUAACUUCGUG
rnacentral:rRNA from 1 species